GGUCAGCAACUCUCUGUGUCUGUGUCCUUGUGUCCUUGAGUGUGAGCAUUGCUAAUUCUGUUUCUAUUUUGUUGAUAUCUAGAUCAUCCUGUUUAUUCUGUGUAGUUAAAACUGACACCAUAGCUAGGCACAAGUUUGCAGCAUUUAAAGGUCUGAGUCUGACAAAGUAUAGCCUCCCCUUCCUCAAUCAACUCCCUAGCUGUUUCCAUGGGGCAGGUUUGUGUGUGUGUGUGUGUGUGUGUGUAUUGUUCCCUGACAUCAACUGUACUGUUGUUUUUCUGCACCUCUAUCUUCCUUAGUGUUGUUCAUGUCAGCACAUGGUUUCAGAAGGUCUUCCUUUCUUCAGGAGAUCUUUCCUGAAUAAUCUUCAUUUUGAUAGAAUCCACAGCUUUCUUCUCUUAUGGAAACAAAGACAAAACCUCUUCCCCAAAGCAACACAUUUUCUUCCUUCCAUUCUGAAAUUAUGGCAUCCCUGUCAUAUUUCAGUAGUUUUUUCCACAAUUCAUUGUCUUUUCAGCAGCUGUUGUUUUGCUCAUUAGCAUUUAAAAUAUAAAUUUAAUAAAGUACUAUAUAAUCUAUCUCUGGAGAGGGCAUUGUUACCUCUUUCUGUUUGUUAAGCAUCUCUUAGAGAAUGAUUAGAUCUUUCUACAACUGCUUGUCCUGUGAGAUUGUGUUACCUGCCUGUAAUGUGCUUUUUGUUGAAGUAUGCAAAAAAAAUCUUCAUUUUAUGAGAAAUCUAUGUCAGCCUUAGUUUGUAGGUAUCCCCAUAAUAGUCCUAACUUCUAGUAAGUGUGUAAUUACAGAAUCGCCCUUUUCAGAACUUAAACCAGUUACCAUUGAACAAUUAUACAAUAAAAUGUACAUACUUUAAUAUCCCAAACUCUUUAAAAGGAAACACAUUUUCCAAAUAUCUUUUUUUCCGGGGGGUGGGGUGGUACCUUUUGGGUUACUUCUUGCAGGCAAUGUAGUUUUGUUAUACAAAGAACAAGUAGGACAUUGCCUUACUUCCUUGCCUUGUUGCCAAGUGAUAGAAAAAAAUCUUCAAACUUUUGCUACUAAUAUCGUGAUUCUUCUGAAAUUAUGAGACUUCUAACAUAUUUCUGGUUGAUAACUGAGCACUGUCAUUAUUACGUUGUGCUAGAUGUGUUACAUAACGGAUGAUUUUUAUUUCUAACUGCUUGCUGAAGGUGAAUAAAUAAGCUAAUUCUAAAUGAUCUGGAAUAAAUUCCACAGUUUCUAUAUGUAAAACAACCCUUUUUGCAUAUUGAAAAUUGGUAACAAUACUAGGAGGUCCAGAAAAAUUAAAUAAUACUUUAAGAAUGGUAUAUAGCUCUGGUUUGGGGGGGGGUUGUUUUGUUUUGUUUUAAGAUUUUAUUUAUUUUAUCUACAUGAGUAUACUGUCACUGUCAGAUCUUAUUACAGAUCUCUUUACAGAUGGUUGUGAGCCACCAUGUGGUUGCUGGGGUUUGAACUCAGGACCUCAGGAAGAGCAGUCAGUGCUCCUAACCACUGAGCUAUCUCUCCAGCCCAGCUCUAGUUUUUUGAACUGCAUCAUAAGGGCUCUGAGUCACUUUAUUUUUCCUGACUUAAUAACUUGCCUUCCCUGAUUUAUUUGCAUCCAUAUAGAAUGUAGGUGUUCCAGAAAUUGGUCUGCCUUUUACUGUAUGAGGGAGAAUUCAAUUAGUUCCUUUUAUAAACUGAAGUCUCUUAUUUCAGGGAUAUUUGUUAUUAAUCUUUCC
rnacentral:lncRNA from 1 species